UACGUAGGGGGCAAGCGUUGUCCGGAAUCAUUGGGCGUAAAGCGCGUGUAGGCGGCCCGAUAAGUCCGCUGUGAAAGUCCAGGGCUCAACCCUGGAAUGCCGGUGGAUACUGUCGGGCUCGAGUCCGGAAGAGGCGAGUGGAAUUCCUGGUGUAGCGGUGAAAUGCGCAGAUAUCAGGAGGAACGCCGAUGGCGAAGGCAGCUCGCUGGGACGGUACUGACGCUGAGACGCGAAAGCGUGGGGAGCAAACAGG
rnacentral:rRNA from 1 species